AACGAACGCUGGCGGCGUGCUUAACACAUGCAAGUCGAACGCGAAAGGGACUUCGGUCCUGAGUAAAGUGGCGCACGGGUGAGUAACGCGUGGAUAAUCUACCCGAUGAUCCGGGAUAACAUUUCGAAAGGGGUGCUAAUACCGGAUAAGACCACGGGCUCUUCGGAGUCUGCGGUAAAAGGUGGGGACCUUCGGGCCUACCGUUAUCGGAUGAGUCCGCGUACCAUUAGCUAGUUGGUGGGGUAAGAGCCUACCAAGGCGACGAUGGUUAGCUGGUCUGAGAGGAUGAUCAGCCACACUGGAACUGAGACACGGUCCAGACUCCUACGGGUGGCAG
rnacentral:rRNA from 1 species